AUUCAAACCCAAUUUAAGUCCAAAUUAAUACGAAUCUAAAUCAAUUAGGGAUUAGGGUUUAAACAUGUUCUAGCAUGUUAGACUCAAAUCCAUUUAGGAUUUUAACCAAAUCCAAUUCAAUUAGAUUCAAGAAGACCUAAUUAAAAAUCCAAGACCAAUUCUUUUUUGUGUGUGACCCAUUGGGUUCUAUAUCUAGUCAGCAGUUAGUCGAGUUCAAGUACACCUAAUCCAAUUA
rnacentral:lncRNA from 1 species